rfam:Pseudogymnoascus verrucosus strain TAMH 10579 unplaced genomic scaffold scaffold_37, whole genome shotgun sequence.
GGUGGAAUGGUGUAAUGGUAGCACGUGACGUUGUGGUAUAACGCUCACCCGUUGUAACAUACAAUCCCGUUUCAAUCUGGGUUCGAUUCCCAGUUCCGCCA